AUGUUAAGUUGUUUCCUCUGCACUUCAUCCUUUUGUUCAGCUUUGCUUUUGUUCAGGCACCUCAAACUAAUUCAUGGAAUGUAUCCUGGGAAAAAUCUAAGACUGAAAUGUGGUCAAGCAGAUUGUUGCUUGCAGUUCUCUAUUUAUUUUGGAUUUAGGAGACAUCUCAUUAAGAUACAUUCUUCAAUUGGUGACAAAUGUGACCCUCAUGAGACCCCUUCCAGUUAUGAAAGUGAAGAACAAAAUUCUCAUACCUUAAAUGAUGAAAUACCUUCUACUUCAUCCCAGUGCCAAAAUUUUGAAGCAGUCCCUUCAGUAUCUACUCACAAGAAAGAUAUGUGUGCGUCCAUUAUAGCAAAACUUAUGGCAAGUGGUGUACCAAAUACUGUAGUUCUUUCGACAAUUGAAAAUUUGGAGGAAUUUGUUGAAGAUUUGCAGUCUAAUAUUAAGGACCAUGUCUUAAACUUACUACCAGGUAACAAUCCAUCAAGACCAGCCAUAGAAGAGUUAUUUAAAAGUUUGGACAACCCUUUCAACCAAUUGAACUCUGAUACCAAAUGGAAAAAGUAUUUCAGAGACAAAUGGGGAGUAGUAGACCCAGUUGAACUGCGCCUUGGUGUUAGGUAUGACACCAGACGAAAUAACAAAACUGGAACUUAUGAACAAGUUCCCGUUAAUGAUAAAUUCAUAUAUAUUCCAAUUUUGAAAACAUUCCAGUUCAUUUUCAGAAAUGAAAACAUUUGUGAGAUGAUGCAAACAUGUAAUCAGUCUGACAUAUAUGAAGACUUCUGCGAUGGUAUCUACUUUAAAAAUCAUCCUUUAUUUUCGACUAAUAAGUUUGCUCUCCAAAUUCAAUUAUACUAUGACGAGUUUGAAUGUGCAAAUCCUCUUGGUUCCAAAAAAGGAAUUCAUAAAAUUGGUUGCCUGUACUUCAUUCUUAGAACUCUUGCUCCAAAGGUGAAUUCUGCCCUCAUGAACAUCCAUUUGGUAUCUUUGUUCCAUGCCCAAGAUGUUAAGAAAUAUGGGAUUGAUGAAAUACUGAAACCCUUAAUAAGGGACUUGAAAAUAUUAGAAACUGUUGGGAUUGCUGUUCCAUUUGCUGAACAACUUGUAUGUGGCACACUUGCUCUCAUUACUGGUGAUAACUUAGGUAUGCAUAGCAUUCUUGGGUUCUUGGAAUCAUUUAGUGCAAAUUAUUUCUGUCGAUUUUGCUUAAUUGAUAAAUCUUCAGCUCAGUCAGUUUUCUCAGAGGAUGACCCAAGUUUGACUUUAAGAUCACCAGUACUAAAUGAUCAGCAUUAUGCCAGUUUGGUAGAUGAUCCAACACUAACCUCUUCUUUUGGCAUCAAGAGGAAAAGCAUGCUCAAUACUUUGCAGUAUUUCAAUACUGGGGAAAACUAUGCUGUCGAUAUCAUGCAUGAUAUUUUGGAAGGGGUUGGUCAAUAUGAGAUAAAACUACUUUUUGAAUAUCUGAUUGAACAUUUCAUCUCUAAAGAAAGCUUGUUGAACAGGACGUAUGCUUUUAAUUAUAGCUAUGUGGAAACUAAAAACAAGCCCACAAAUAUUAAUCUUGACUGCGGAGGACAUGGAAUAGGCUUAAAUGCAUCGCAAACACUGUGUUUAGUCACUAACAUACCUUUGAUAUUUGGUGACCUGGUACCAGAUGAUGAUUUGCACUGGCGCUUGUUGCUCUUGUUGUUGAACAUCAUAAAUAUUGUGUUCUCUUACUCAAUCACUGAGGGGAUGACAGUUUAUUUAAAUCACCUUAUUAUUGAACAUCAUAAACUCUUUAAAGAACUGUUCCCAUUAAAAAACUUGCUUCCAAAACAUAAUUUUAUGGUCCACUACCCAAGGUGCAUUAGAAAGAUCGGACCACUCAUUCAUAUCUGGACCAUGAGAUUUGAAGCGAAACACAAGUUUUUUAAAGAUUCUGUGAAGAACUUCAAAAAUUUGACAGUUUCGCUUGCAAAUAAACACCAGUUUGCAGUAGCAUAUCAUUGGGAAUGCUUGUCUUUAAAGACAGUUGAGUCUGGUCCAGUCAAAAUGUGUUCACUUGAGACGCUUGAAUUUUCAGAAAAUAUAACUGAAUCUCUCCAUGUUGAUUCACAAGCCACUGUCAAUCUCACAAAGUGGGUAAGAUGUUGUGGUGUUGAGUAUCGUGUUGGACUCUUUGUUUGCACGGGUACUGAUGAAAACAUGCCAGUUUUCAGCAAAAUAUCCUCAAUCGUUUUACACAAUGGUAAAGUGAUUUUUGUUUUGAUUGAGCAUGAAACAUUUUUCCAUGAUCACUUCCAUGCUUUUCAAGUGAGUGAAAACCUACCAAGGAAGGUACUUGUUAUAGAAAGGGAAAGAUUAAGACAUUUCAAAUCUUUUGAUGCCCAAAUGUCAUAUGGGUGUGAUUCACAAUUUUAUGUUGUAUCAGAGAGUUGUAUUAUCUGA
ensembl:lncRNA